CAAGUCGAACGGUAACAGGCCCGCAAGGGUGCUGACGAGUGGCGGACGGGUGAGGAAUACAUCGGAAUUUGCCCAUGUCGUGGGGGAUAACGUAGGGAAACUUACGCUAAUACCGCAUACGACCGAGAGGUGAAAGCGGGGGAUCCGUAAGGACCUCGCGCGAUUGGAUGAGCCGAUGUCGGAUUAGCUAGUUGGCGGGGUAAAGGCCCACCAAGGCGACGAUCCGUAGCUGGUCUGAGAGGAUGAUCAGCCACACUGGGACUGAGACACGGCCCAGACUCCUACGGGAGGCAGCAGUGGGGAAUAUUGGACAAUGGGGGCAACCCUGAUCCAGCAAUGCCGCGUGUGUGAAGAAGGCCUUCGGGUUGUAAAGCACUUUUAUCCGGAACGAAACGCGCAGGGUGAAUAGCCCGGCGAACUGACGGUACCGGAGGAAUAAGCACCGGCUAACUUCGUGCCAGCAGCCGCGGUAAUACGAAGGGUGCAAGCGUUACUCGGAAUUACUGGGCGUAAAGGGUGCGUAGGUGGUUUUUUAAGUCCGUUGUGAAAUCCCUGGGCUCAACCUGGGAAUGGCAGUGGAUACUGGAAAGCUAGAGUGCGGUAGAGGGUAGUGGAAUUCCCGGUGUAGCAGUGAAAUGCGUAGAGAUGCCCAGGAACACCAGUGGCGAAGGCGGCUACCUGGACCAGCACUGACACUGAGGCACG
rnacentral:rRNA from 1 species